rnacentral:lncRNA from 1 species
CUAACAUACAGUGUGCUCUUGGUUUUGUGGGUAGAUUCCCAUAGUUCAUUGCUUUCAUACAAUUCCCAGUGCUAUCUCAACAAGUGCCUUCCCAUUACCCAGUUUUAAAGCAUUUUCCACAUUUUUAGGUAUUUAUUACAAUAGCACCCCACUGUCAGUAUCAAGAUCGGUCUUAGUCCACUUGGGCUGUCAUAACAAAAUACCAUAGACAGGGUGGCUGGGUCAAACAAUACAAAUUUUUUUCCUCAUAAUUCUGGAGACUGAAAGUUCAAGAUCAAGGUGCUAAUAUGGUCUGUUUCAGGUGAAGAUUCUCUUACUGGGUUAUAAAUGGCUAACUUCUGGUUGUGUUCUCACAUGGCAGAGAGAGCAGGCAAGCUAUCUGGUGUCUCUUCUUAUAAGGGCACUAAUCCCAUCAUGGGGGACCCACCUUUGUGACCUCAUAUAAACCUAAUUAUCUCCCAAAGGCCCUAUUUCCAAAUAGCAUCACAUUGGGGGUUAAACCUUCAACAUAUGAAUUUGGGGAGUUUGCAGUUCAGUCCACAGCCCUGGAUACUGGUUUAUAAACAGACAGAAACUAAUGGAAACACACCGCUUAUGUGUGACAUAUGCCAAUUACUGCAAGAAUCACUUCCAGUAAGGUGCAGAGCAAUGACCCGACAGGUGGACAGUCAGCAGCAAAUAUCCAGAGGAACUUUGAACAUGACCUCUAGGAGGAGUGGACUGGAAUGCACUUUGCUCAACCUGAAGACAUUCAAAUCAAAGGUUACUGCCACUGCCAGCAAUGGGCAUCAUUGUAUAUUCAAGGACAAGUGAGAGAAAGGAAACCAUGAUUACGCAGCCCCAGGAAAGUCUGAAAGAAGGCAGAGGCUGUGACAAAUGUAUAAAAUACUAUAUAUAAUUGCCAACAAACAAGAAUGUCAAAUUAAUGGAAACUGCAAGCAGAUACAAAACAAUUCCCCACUGAUUUUUUUAUAUGUUCCAAUUUAUAAUACAUGUUCAUGUUCCACAAAUAUGACUAGUGGCUAUUAAAUUAUAGUUUAUUUGCUCACUUGGCCAACUUCAUUAAUAUCCCUGUACACCUUUCAAUGUCUAUAAAAUCCUGGUGUUUAAUUAAGUGUUCUAUAAGAUAGUCCCUAGUUGUUCAUUCAAUGGUGUUUUUGUUUAAAACUGUUUUUGUAUGGUAAAGAAAGAAAUUAUUAUGAAUACAGUAACUUUAGAAUUCUGUGUGUGUGAAAAUAGCAAUUAGAUUGUUACAUAUCUGUGUGUGUAUGCACUUAAUACAUAAUUCAUUUUACCAGCUAUAUACAGAAUAUUAUUACAUAAUCUGCAAACUUAACCAUUCUAUCAAAUUCCUUCACACUUAAAUUUUCUUCCCAAAUAAAUGAUCGAAAGCUAUGAGCA